rnacentral:lncRNA from 1 species
UGGAGGAGAUGAAGAAAAUUUGGGACAUAAGUUUCCCGGUGGCCGCCAUGAGCCUAUUAAACUACCUAAAGAACAUGACCUCCGUCGCGUGUAUGGGCCGACUAGGUAGCCUCGAGCUGGCCGGAGGAGCCUUAGCCGUCGGAUUCACAAACAUAACCGGGUACUCCGUUCUCUCCGGUUUAGCCACCGGUAUGGAACCACUUUGUGGCCAAGCCCUAGGCUCUAAAAACCCUUCACUCGCUUCCUUGACCCUCAAGCGAACCAUCUUUCUCCUCCUCUUAGCUUCGCUUCCCAUCUCUCUCCUCUGGCUGAGCCUCCAACCUCUAAUGCUAAUCCUCCGCCAACAAGAAGACAUCACGCUUAUAUAGUUGUACACAAUAUUGUGUUUUCUCGUCUGAAGGGGUGAUCUAUGAACAUUAAUGGGGACCGAUGAGGCCAAGUGAUACACAAAUCCAAAAGAUAACUCAAUGGAAUUUUUUGUUCUUUUGGUCAAUUCAUCGCGUCAAAGCCGGGAUUAUUAAUGUUGCUAGUAUAUGCUUCUAUGGGGAAGGGUAAAGCGUCAACUCGAACAUGGUUUCAAACCAGAUUAUGUUCUUACACAACAAACUCAAAACCAGUAUGGAUUAUUAUUUUAAUAUAUUUAUCAGCUCAUCUGAUACUAUUAAUUUACGCAAGUUGUAUUGAAUUUGCUCCUCCAUCUGCCGUUAUAAAGUCAAUUGGUCAAUAAUUAAACAACAGCGAAUAAUUUGAUUAUGACAAAUGUCUCAAACCGGAUCUUAACAUUUGACUUUUUCUUUGCUUUUCAAGAUAUUCCAUUAAUUACUGCUUGAUUAGUUAUGGUGAAUGGGUUCACCCCAAAAUCUAGUCAACUUAUAUGAACUAGUAAGCCACAAUGUGGACAACAACAUAUAGAAUAAUAUAUUUAUGUUUCCAUUAUAGAAAUUUGUUCAAUGUGUAAUCAUUAUAGCAUUAUGUUAGAGUCUAAAAGCACAUUAGAAAUGUCGGAUGUGUGAAUAACAAAGGAGAAGACUUAAGUGCUAUAUCUAGUGAGAAAUGUCUAACCAUGCACGGUUCCAUUAAAGGAUAUUACUAUCCAUCACAGUUCACCAAUUCUAAAACAUUUUGUUUUAAACUAACAUUAUUUUUUUUUUUUUUUUUUUGAAACAAACUAACAUUAUGUUUACUAUAGGAUUUUACUAUAUGAGUUUAGGAAGUAGACCAAGCCUUAUAUCACACAAACAAUGUCACACAAGGUUAGGCAUAUGUCUAUGCGUGAGUUACGUGUAGAUUGAGAGAUAUCGAGAUCAACGAUGGAGAUGUAAGUAGGAGCAAUAGGCCACGUGCGGGAGAAGCGAAAGAAUAGAAGAAGUGUAUAUUAGUGAGGAAAGGAUAGAUGAUAUGUUUCCUUUGUAUAAGGGGAACAUCACGACUCUGUCUCUAUUUGUACUUCUCCUUCACUACUUGUGUUUCUGUCAAUUUUCACUUGGUUUCUCCCAGCCUAAAAGAUAAUUCUAAGGAGUUAUGGGUUUGAUUGGAUAUCACUAGAGUAAUAUGGAGUAAAAUAAAUAGGUGUAAAAUAGAGAAAAACAAAAAGGUGGAAAACAAAAAAGAGAAAGCGUAAAUGAGAGGAAAGUUAUUACUCUAGCAAAAUGUAGAGUAAGAAGAUAGUGUAACUCACCGAAGACAAGCGCGUGGAUCUCGUAAGUUCCGGUGUCCGUGGUGCGUCCCCGCGCCGGAGACGUCAAUCUUCUUCUUUUCUCCGCUGGUUUUCCUUUGGCUUCUCCGUGGUGUCUUCCUCUUCUCCGUCUUGUCAAGGUUCUGGUUCUGGAGAUUCACCCGGUGAGAUCUUCGCUCGAGAAGAGUUUCGAUCUGGUGUGGGAUUUACUAGCUCUGGAGUUAAGGCACAGAAGAGAGUGGUAGCUGUCGGAGAGGCUCUGCUUUUUGGGUUCUCAAGUGGUCGUUUUCCCCUUUCGUCCGCUUCUCGAGAAGGCUGCGCGUGGAGGUGGACCUUAGGUUCUUGCUAUGGAUCUUGGUGGUUGGUUUCCGGAUCUACCUCUUGGGUCCUUAUGCAGAGCGGUGGCGACUUCCGGUCUGGUGGUCCACCCUGGUGUCUCGGUGGCUCUGUGACCAAUGGUUGGUCAGGAGUUGAAACCCGUAUUUACUAAUCAGUUGUCAUUUGUUUUCGCUCAAAUCUGGGUUUCGAUGUCUCUGCAUAUGGUUCUCACUUAGGCGUGCUGACUUAAUCAUACACACACACAGACGGCUAUGAUUUUUCUACAGACUUUCCAUAUGUAAAACUUAGCCUGUUUAAUCAAUCGAUAACUUGUAUCAUUGAACCUUAUGCAGUGAUCGCUUGUCGUCCGUUUCCUUUCCGUGAAUGCGUCCGGUAAGUUUCGGGUGGUAAGACUUCGUUUUAGUGGUGUUGUGGCUGAGCUUCUAUCUAGGAGUAAAUGGACGUUUAUGAUUGCGUCAGCUCUGUAUCUGAAGGUUGUGUUGAUCGAGUAUCGAUUCCUCUUGUCGGGUUAUGAAGUCUCAGGUUUUUGGGCGUUAUCGUUUGGCGGGCGUAGGCAGCAGCGAUAGGUCGGUCGUGGUGUGAGUGUAGAAGUGGAAGUUACCGUGUGUUAGGGCUAUGUGCAGCAGCGGUAAAUCCCAAUCAUUGGCAUGUGCUUAUAAUUUGUCUGAUGAGUUGAUAUGUUUCAGACUUGAGUGUAGUAGUUAAUCGUUUGUCUUGAGUUUAGUUGCGGUUUUAGUUUUAUGUUGUGUUUUUAAGUUGCCCCGGUGUGGGUUCUAGUUGCCGCUUUCUAUGGGCUCUUGUUUCUGGGGUUAUCAUGUUAGACCGCCAGCUUAUGUAUGAACUCUUGUAUUUCACUUUGGAAUGAAUAUCAAAAGCCAUUGAAGGGAAAACAAAAAAAAGCAAAAUGUAGAGUAAAACUGUGUGUAUAUUUCUGACCAUCUAAAUAGUAACUAGAGUAAAAAUGUAAAAGUGAUUUUCCACCUGAUUGGUAAACUUUGAGUGGACUUUGGAGUAAAUUAAAUUUUAGAGUAAUAAUUUACUCUAGAAAUACUUUCCAGUCACACACUAUAUGUAAUUAUGUAUGCUAUUUUAUUUAAUUAUUAGCAAAAAAAUCGGGAAACAAAUUUAAUUAACUAAAUUGUUUAAUUUUUCAGAACACUGAUAAUAUGCUAGUCUCACCCAUUACUAAUAUCAUAGCUAAUCUAAAAGUCAAUAUCAUAUUUUCAGUAUAUAUUUUAAAAAUUAUGUAUUUAAAAUAUUUUCAAACGAACUGUAAAAAUAUAUCAACUGUGAUGAUUAUUUUUCUAUGUAAGCAAAGGCAUGAUGUAAAAUGUCAUUUGUAUACAAGGAGUGGAGUGGGAAUAAGAAAGAAAAGGAGAGAAAAAGGUAUACAUAAUUUACAAUUCGAUUAUUUUUUUUGAACACCAAUUUACAAUUCGAUUCUAUGUUGAUAAUAACAGUGAGAGGGAGACAAGACAUUGCGCUAUACCUAAUUUUAACUAGUUUCAUUUCUAGCCUGAUGGACCAAUCAUAUCACUUUCUACGAAUAUCUUUAGUUUGACUCCAUAAAUAUAUUUAUCAACAUUAUUUUAGAAAAAAAAGGAAAUCAAAGGAAGUUUUAUGCAUAAUCUUUUUGAGCAUAAAGAUUAACUUUUAGGUCAAUCUUAACUUCUUAUAGUGAUUAUUUUGUAAAAAUGCAGACUCGGUUAACAAAAUCUGAUGAUGAUAGUUUACUUUCGCCUGUAAGAUUUUAAACCAAAGAAAAGUUUACGUUAUUUGGCACCUCAUUUUAUUGAAUACUGCAUAAUAGUUGUUGCUACAGCUUCUGAAGAUUAGUAUAGGCCUCAAUAUGAAUUUUGGUUAUAAUAAAACUCCACUCCUUAGCAACAAUUUAUUUUAAAAUUUUAUAAAGAGAUAAUCAUAUAAUGGAACUUUGUACUAAAAGUUGAUCAGCGCAUGUUGUGAAGAAAUUUGAUUUGAGUUUUUCUUCUUUAUUGGUUUUUUUUUUCUGAACAAGUUCUUCAUUGUUUUUCUGUUGUAUUAAAUUGCCACAUACCUAUACUUUCGUUUGUUUAUGUGACGCUUUAUGUACGAAAAAAUCUGAUUCAGAUUUCGUACUUUUGUGGUCAAGAAAAUCUCUAAUUUAAUCACAAACUAGAUCUCGAUCCGCAUCACAAACUAGAUCUCGAUCCGCACAACCGUGCGGAUUUUAUUUUAUAUACUAAAUCAUUUUGGUUUAUAAAACAAAAUUUAUCAAUUAAUUAAUAUAGUUUAAUAUUAUAUAUUAUCUAACUCUAUUAUACCUGUAUUUAUGUGAUUUGUGAUAUUAUUAUUAUAAAAAAAUUCAAAUUUUGUAUUAUUGUAACAAAUUUUGUUUUGAAAACAUAAUUAUGUAACAGUACUAUUUUACAUUUUUUUUAUUUCUAAAUUUGAAAUAUAUAUAAAACUUAAAUCAAAUUGGACCUACUGUUAAAAACUAAAUCAAAUUGGUAAUAGAUAAAAAAAUUUGGGAUACCGUUAAAAACAUCAAAUUUUUAACACUAUAAUAUAUUGUGCCUGUAAAAUAUUACGGUGCAAUUAGUUAGUCUGUAAUUCAGAUUUGGCGUAUAUAAUUUGUUUUAUAAACGCAGUAUACAUAUGGUGAUUAAUUAAACCCAUUUUGUAUAGUGUUCGUCGUUAGUCUAAGGGGUUAGUCGAAAUUUGAUUUAUAUUGCAUGUUCAGAAUAAUAACAAUAGGAUAAUGUAUUGGUCCACGCACUAGUUUGAUAAUGGUUUACAUCCUGGUUAUCUAUCAAUUGAUUUUACAUUUAAUAAGGAUUAAAAAUUGGUCAUGUUUACCAUUCCGGUUUUGUAGGAGUUAUGGUUAUAUUAGUUGUGAUAUAUUAUCAAACCAUGUUAUUAGUAAUAAAUGAAUGAUAACUGAUUUCUAAUGAAGUACUAUUUUUUAAAAAAAUCACAUAUGAAUCAAGGUUGUGACUUCUGUUUUAAUAUAUAAGAUAUAGGACUGAGAGUCAUCUUUACUAACUAAAAGAUAUGGAUUGUUUCUAAUUAAUUUCGUCUGCAUGUUUCCCCUCUAAGAAAAGAAUAACAAAAUAAUGAUAUUUUUUUUUGAAAUCCCCACCAUGCGAAACUAAGAACCAUGCACCUAAGAGCAUGAUUAACCCAGGGUUUUUAUCAUUUCGUACUUUUGUGGUCAAGAAAAUCUCUAAUUUAAUCACAAACUAGAUCUCGAUCCGCAUCACAAACUAGAUCUCGAUCCGCACAACCGUGCGGAUUUUAUUUUAUAUACUAAAUCAUUUUGGUUUAUAAAACAAAAUUUAUCAAUUAAUUAAUAUAGUUUAAUAUUAUAUAUUAUCUAACUCUAUUAUACCUGUAUUUAUGUGAUUUGUGAUAUUAUUAUUAUAAAAAAAUUCAAAUUUUGUAUUAUUGUAACAAAUUUUGUUUUGAAAACAUAAUUAUGUAACAGUACUAUUUUACAUUUUUUUUAUUUCUAAAUUUGAAAUAUAUAUAAAACUUAAAUCAAAUUGGACCUACUGUUAAAAACUAAAUCAAAUUGGUAAUAGAUAAAAAAAUUUGGGAUACCGUUAAAAACAUCAAAUUUUUAACACUAUAAUAUAUUGUGCCUGUAAAAUAUUACGGUGCAAUUAGUUAGUCUGUAAUUCAGAUUUGGCGUAUAUAAUUUGUUUUAUAAACGCAGUAUACAUAUGGUGAUUAAUUAAACCCAUUUUGUAUAGUGUUCGUCGUUAGUCUAAGGGGUUAGUCGAAAUUUGAUUUAUAUUGCAUGUUCAGAAUAAUAACAAUAGGAUAAUGUAUUGGUCCACGCACUAGUUUGAUAAUGGUUUACAUCCUGGUUAUCUAUCAAUUGAUUUUACAUUUAAUAAGGAUUAAAAAUUGGUCAUGUUUACCAUUCCGGUUUUGUAGGAGUUAUGGUUAUAUUAGUUGUGAUAUAUUAUCAAACCAUGUUAUUAGUAAUAAAUGAAUGAUAACUGAUUUCUAAUGAAGUACUAUUUUUUAAAAAAAUCACAUAUGAAUCAAGGUUGUGACUUCUGUUUUAAUAUAUAAGAUAUAGGACUGAGAGUCAUCUUUACUAACUAAAAGAUAUGGAUUGUUUCUAAUUAAUUUCGUCUGCAUGUUUCCCCUCUAAGAAAAGAAUAACAAAAUAAUGAUAUUUUUUUUUGAAAUCCCCACCAUGCGAAACUAAGAACCAUGCACCUAAGAGCAUGAUUAACCCAGGGUUUUUAUCGGAAGUUAAAAAAUUGUUUCUUAACUUUUAACUAAAAAAACUAAGAACCGAUUCUUAAAUAAGGAUUUUAAGAACCGGUUCUUAACUUUUUUAGUUAAAAGUUAAGAAACAGUUUCUUAACUUCCACUAAAAACUUCACUCUAAGAACCCCGGGUUAAUCAUGGUCUAAACACACACAAAAUCUCUAUAAAAGGGCAUCUUCUCUUCAUAUUUUAAAAUCUCUCAUCUCAAUCAAAACAAACUCUAACAAUGGUGGCAGAAGAAGACUCAAGUCUCACAAAUCUCCAACACAAUUAUAGCCCGACAAUGCCAGAGGUAUCUUAUUAUAUCUAAAAUAUCUAUUCUCAGUACAGCCUCCAUCAACGUUUUAAAUAUAUCCACUUAUAUAAUUUAAUUGUAUUAUUCCAAUUUAUAUUUUAAAAAGGUGGUGGAGGAGAUGAAGAAAAUUUGGGACAUAAGUUUCCCGGUGGCCGCCAUGAGCCUAUUAAACUACCUAAAGAACAUGACCUCCGUCGCGUGUAUGGGCCGACUAGGUAGCCUCGAGCUGGCCGGAGGAGCCUUAGCCGUCGGAUUCACAAACAUAACCGGGUACUCCGUUCUCUCCGGUUUAGCCACCGGUAUGGAACCACUUUGUGGCC